rnacentral:rRNA from 1 species
UGAGUAGGCGGUUGCAUAUGUCAGAUGUAAAAGGCACAGGCUUAACUUGUGUUAGCAUUUGAAACUGUGUGACUUGAGUGCAGGAGAGGUAAGUGGAAUUCCUAGUGUAGCGGUGAAAUGCGUAGAUAUUAGGAGGAACACCAGUGGCGAAGGCGACUUACUGGACUGUAACUGACGCUGAGUCACGAAAGCGUGGGUAGCAAACA